UCCUGGCUCAGAACGAACGCUGGCGGCGCGUCUUAAGCAUGCAAGUCGGGCGGCAAGGGGGAGCAAUCCUCCCUAGAGCGGCGGACUGGUGAGUAACGCGUGGGCGACCUGCCUUGGGGAUGGGGACAGCCGCUGGAAACAGCGGGUAAUACCGAAUACGACCGUCAGCUUGAGGGCUGACGGGGAAAGGGGCUAAGGCCCCGCCCUGAGAUGGACCCGCGUCCCAUUAGCUGGUUGGUGUGGUAAGAGCGCACCAAGGCGAAGAUGGGUAGCCGGCCUGAGAGGGCGAACGGCCACACUGGGACUGAGAUACGGCCCAGACUCCUACGGGAGGCAGCAGCUAAGAAUAUUCCGCAAUGGACGAAAGUCUGACGGAGCGACGCCGCGUGGAUGACGAAGGCCGAAAGGUUGUAAAAUUCUUUUGCGGGCGAAGAAGAAGGCGGGCAGGGAAUGGCCCGCCGGUGACGCCGGCCCGCGAAUAAGCCCCGGCUAAUUACGUGCCAGCAGCCGCGGUAACACGUAAGGGGCGAGCGUUGUUCGGAAUUAUUGGGCGUAAAGGGCGCAUAGGCGGUUAGAUAAGUCUGGCGUGAAAGGCGGGAGCUUAACUCCCGGACUGCGUUAGAAACUGUGUAACUAGAGUCAUGGAGGGGGAGUUGGAAUUCCUGGUGUAGGGGUGAAAUCUGUAGAUAUCAGGAAGAACACCGAUGGCGAAGGCAGGCUUCCAGCCGAUGACUGACGCUGAGGCGCGAAAAGCGCGGGGAGCAAACAGGAUUAGAUACCCUGGUAGUCCGCGCCGUAAACGAUGCGCACUAGGCGUCGGGGCGAGCGUUCCGGUGCCGAAGCGAACGCGAUAAGUGCACCGCCUGGGGAGUAUGCCCGCAAGGGUGAAACUCAAAGGAAUUGACGGGGGCCCGCACAAGCGGUGGAGCAUGUGGUUUAAUUCGAAGCAACGCGAAGAACCUUACCAAGAAUUGACAUCUACCUUUUAACUUAUGGAAACAUAGGAAGCCUUCGGGCGAGGUAAGACAGGUGGUGCAUGGUUGUCGUCAGCUCGUGUCGUGAGAUGUUGGGUUAAGUCCCGCAACGAGCGCAACCCUUGCGUCUAGUAGCCAGCGGGCAAAGCCGGGCACACUAGAGGGACUGCCGUGGAUAACACGGAGGAAGGUGGGGACGACGUCAAAUCAUCAUGCCCCUUAUGUCCAGGGCUACACACGUGCUACAAUGGGCGGUACAGAGCGGAGCGAAGCCGCGAGGCGCAGGCGAAUCGCUUAAAGCCGCCCGUAGUCCGGAUUGAAGUCUGAAACCCGACUUCAUGAAGCUGGAAUCGCUAGUAAUCGCGCAUCAGCAUGGCGCGGUGAAUACGUUCCCGGGCCUUGUACACACCGCCCGUCACACCAUCCGAGUUGGGGGCACCCGAAGCCGGCAGUCUAACCGCAAGGGGGACGCUGUCGAAGGUGCGCCGGGCGAGGAGGGUGA
rnacentral:rRNA from 1 species